UACGUAGGGUGCGAGCGUUAAUCGGAAUUACUGGGCGUAAAGCGUGCGCAGGCGGUUGUGCAAGACAGGCGUGAAAUCCCCGGGCUUAACCUGGGAAUGGCGCUUGUGACUGCACGACUAGAGUACGGCAGAGGGGGGUGGAAUUCCACGUGUAGCAGUGAAAUGCGUAGAGAUGUGGAGGAACACCGAUGGCGAAGGCAGCCCCCUGGGCCAGUACUGACGCUCAUGCACGAAAGCGUGGGGAGCAAACAGG
rnacentral:rRNA from 1 species